rnacentral:lncRNA from 1 species
GUGGAAACAGGAGUGCAGAAGGUAUUAAAUCUGGACUCUUUCUCAAGGAGAUGAAGUAUUCAGGAGGGGUGUAUUUACAUGUUCUAGUAUGUUAACAUGAACUUCCUAAGAAAUGGAAUUGGAAGGUCUGGGUGACGAGGUUGUGGCAGCAUUGCCUGAAGAUAUGAGAGCAGACUUCAAUCCCAAUGGUUUUUCAUUGGAAUUGGCGAUAUGUGUGCUUACCGUUGGACUGCUUGCAAUUGUCCUGUUUCUGUGGAGAGGCUUCCGAUCA